UACGUAGGGGGCAAGCGUUGUCCGGAAUCAUUGGGCGUAAAGCGCGCGUAGGCGGCCCUGUAAGUCCGUUGUGAAAGUCAAAGGCUCAACCUUUGAAAGCCGAUGGAUACUGCAGGGCUAGAGUCCGGAAGAGGCGAGUGGAAUUCCUGGUGUAGCGGUGGAAUGCGCAGAUAUCAGGAGGAACACCAAGAGCGAAGGCAGCUCGCUGGGACGGUACUGACGCUAAGGCGCGAAAGCGUGGGGAGCGAACAGG
rnacentral:rRNA from 1 species